ACUUUGGGAGGCAUAGGCAGGCGGAUCAUGAGGUCAGGAGAUGGAAACCAUCCUGGCUAACAUGGUGAAACCCCGUCUCUACUGAAAAUGCAAAAAAUUAGCCGGGCGCGGUGGCGGGCACCUGUAGUCCCAGCUACUGGGAGGCUGAGGCAGGAGUAUGGCGUGAACCCAGGAGGCAGAGCUUGCAGUGAGCCGAGAUCACGCCACUGCACUCCAGCCUGGGCGACAGAGCAAGACUCCGUCUCAAAUAGAUAAAAAUAAAUUUAUAUAAGUAGAAUCAUUAAAGUAUGCAUUUUUGGGGUCUGGUUUCUUUUAUCCCACAUACAGUAUGUUGUGCUUCAUCCAUGUCAUUGCACUCACCUGUAACACAUUUUAUUGUCUUUUUCCCACAGCAAACAGUUUAAUGUAAACACUCUGUACAUGGGCCUGUGAGACAGGCCUACCACCCAUGUCCAGGAAACCCCAGGGCAGGGCACCCGCAGCCCACGUCCAGCCUCCCACCCUCAGGGUCACUCAGGAAAGGAAGAGCAAAGUGCAUCGUCUUCAUAAAGAAAAACAGCCUGGGGUGGGCCCAGGCCAAAGAGCCUCCAAGUUGGUGGUUGUCUGGUGGCUGCUGGGCUCACAAACCCUCCUUAGCUUGGGCCAGACAUGCAAUGCUGCCGGCCAGGUCAGCAGCCUUGUCCAGCUUGAGGUAGGUGUGGGGCAGACACGGUGGAAGUUGAGCCAGUCGGGCAGCAGCUCAGAGAGGAGCAGCAGGUGCUUCUUCAUUUCCCCGGGGCCCACUGCAGCGGGCACCUCCUCGCCAUCCUGGCACAGGCCACCUCCACACUGAGCACCAGCUUGCGCUCAGACACAAAGAUGCGACGCAGCGUCCAGGCCAGGUCUGGCAGCCACUGCGGCCCGGCUCCUGCUCCGGCAUCAUGUCACCUGCGCCAGCUGCUUCUGUCCCAGAUUGCUCAGGACGGGGGCUGGAAAGCCAGGGGCAGCCAAGACCUGGGGCUGGAAACCGCAUCUGCCCACAGCCACAGCCUCCUGCACCUGUCAUCCUGGUGGGGCGCUGGCAUCGGACUAGCAGCAGGCACCGAGCUCCUGCAGCGGGCACCGCUGCCAACGUGUUCUGGCGCAGGCUGCAAGGGAAGGUGGCCUCCCCGCGCUGCUCCCGAAGCCCCAGGACCAGGGGUGUGGCCAGCAAGGCCUUCACACCCCGCGUCUCGUGGACAUUGUCCUCUCUGGAGGUGGCUGGAUGGGAGCUAGGCUCGCAGCGACCGGCCCCGCAGGGACGCGACUGCAGGGCUCAGGAUCCUGCACUCUGGCACUGCAGCACCGUGCCUUUCAGCAACCGCUACCUCCUGCAUCAGCGCCUCUCUCGGGUGGCAUGCUGGGGCCCGGGGGUCCUGGCGAGGCGAACUUCAGCUUCUUGUCUUGGUCUCUGCUUUUAUUGAUGUUAAACCUUUGUGGCUGUGCCAGGAAAAGCAUCCAGGAGUCCCUGAUGUGGACACUGCUUGCGCGCUCAGUGGGACUCAGCCAACAGGCGGUUCUCCCCAGGGCUUGCCGGCAGCUUGUUCCCGGAGGGCGGCUCCUCUUGGAAGCGACUCCUCCUGGAAGCAGCUCCUUGUGGGCGCACCAGGCUCAGGGGAGCUAAGGCCCGCCAUGGCCAGCAGGUCUGUGGAGGGGAAGGGUAAAGCGGGCUCUGCAGGGCAGCAGACCAGGACCAUGCGAGUGGCUGGUCAGUCUGGUCUCCAAGCACAGCCUCUCGGGAUUCCCUGGGUCCCAUGGCUUAUAAUGCUCUUGAAUCCCACACCUUCCCCGGGAGACAGCAUGUCACCGUCACCGCCCAGCGCCCUCUGAUCUGUUCCCACUAGCUCUGCAGCGGAGGGUGGGUCGGGGAGAGAGGGCCACAGGGAAGGAAAAGCGUGAGGUGGGCGAGUAUCUUCAUAAGCUUCUUCCCAUCUGUAUGCCAUCUCUGAUGGGUACCUCUUUAGAUCUUCUGUCCAUUUACUAAUCGGGUUGUUUGAUUUCUUAUUGCUGAGUUGUAAGUGGUUUUUAAUGGUCUGGAUGCCAGACAGGUGUUUUGCAAAUAUUUUCUCGCUGUCUGUGACUUCUCUAUUCUCUUAACAUUUCCUUUCCCAGAGCAAAAGUUUUUAAUUGUAACAAAGUCAUACCAGUAUCGUCUUUCAUGGUAAAAAUUUGUCUUGUAUGUACUUUAGUGUUAUAUCUGCAAAGUAAUUGCCAAACUCAAAGUUACCUAUCUAUCCC
ensembl:lncRNA